UAAUUUUAGAGAUGGAGGAAUAAACUAGCUGAUUCAAAUUUUAUAUUCUUUUACCUAACUUCUAUAAUUUUUCCAGUGCCGCGGUUUAUUUUUCGGUAAGGCCAACUAGAAGCUUGAAUUGGUUAUAAGAGUAUUUUAACAGGUUUAUCACAUGCAAAGGCUUAAAAAAUAGUUCACUACUUUCUAAGUACACCAGACCUUUCUUUAGGGCAACAGUUGUUUCUUCUUUCUCUUUCCUUCCUAAUUGUUUAAGAUUUUAGCCUAUUUUUUCCUGCUUUGUGAAUUUUAAGUAGGACCUCAACAAAUUUAAGAACUCCAGCUAGUCAUUAAUCGGUUGAUAGUCUUGCCUAUCUUUAUUCAUUAGUGAGUCUGCUUUUUCUUCUGCACAUUUGUUAAAGUCCAUUUGAUCAUUGAGCCUGUUUUUAACAUGGUUUCCUUAUGGUUUUGCUUUCCUAAUCCGAUUUUAAAGGUCUUCAUGUUAUUUGAGAGUUGCUGAAAACCAUGCUGCUCUUUCCUUGAUGGUUUGGUAGUGAGCAUGGAUGAGCACAGCCUGCUGAACCCUGAGUUCUAAUCUUACGCCUGUAGCUAAGGAAUUGGGGAUGAUUUGGACAAGUCAGUCAAUCUUCUUUGUCUCCAGCUGCUCAAGUGUCAACUGUGGAUAAUAUGACCUGUCUCAAAACCAUGUCAUGCGAUGAAGACGCCAAGGCAAUGACACCUGACAGUCAUAUAGCUGAUAAGGAACAGCGCCAGGACCCAGAGCCAGGCAGUGUGACUGAGCAAGAGUCUGUGCUUUUAACGACUAGGUUUUGCUAGCCCAAAGCACAUACUUGAUACACGUUGCUGAGAAGCAUGAGGCACUACAAUUGGACUUGAUGAAGGGAAAUAAAUAUCAUACAGAGAGUUGUUCAGGACAUUGCGAGAAUCAUGCCACUGAAUGCUGGUGGGGCAGCCUCUGACUGGGGAGGGGUGACCACAGAUGGGAGAGAUACAUUAUGGUAAGCAGUGGUUUCCAUUGUAUGCUCUGAGCAGCCAAGCACUACCCUGUUCUCCUUUCCCUAUCCAUUGAAAGCAGACUCUAUCUUCUUGCCCAGAAAGAUGAGAAAGUAUCCCCACCUGCACUGAUCAUAGGAAUUAGGUACUCUGCUUCUAUCAAAAUCCCUCAGUGGAACUGGGAAAGUUAAAACUUUUUUUUUUUUCUCCUUGGUCACUAAACUGGAAUGAAGUUUAUUCAGAGCUGCUGUUGAUCACUGAUUCCUCAUUUAACCACUUUCCAAUCCCA
rnacentral:lncRNA from 1 species